rnacentral:misc_RNA from 1 species
CUGCUAAAUGUUCUUGCAAGUUUCCAUUAGCCAUAUACUCAUACACAAGCCCCAUGUGUGGACCAUCAUCACAGUAUCCAAUCAGAGAAGCCAAGUUUCUGUGGUGAACUCUUGUCAAAAGCAGUGCCUCAGUUUGGAAUUCCUUGGAUCCUUGAGUUGAAGAUGGUGAUAACAUUUUGACAGCAACUUGAGUUCCAUCUUUCAAUUGGCCACUAAAGACUGUUCCAAAUCCUCCUUUUCCAAUCACCUUCUGAAAGUCAUUAGUAAUUGCUACAAGCUCAGAAUAUGUGAAUUGUCGAUUCCUUGCCUCCAAUGUCUUUCCAUCUUUCUUACUGUUGAAGAUAAAUCCAAGUUUUUGUCUUCUCUUUAAGUUCCACAAGAUUGCUAAAACACCUAAGACAAGUAAAAUUGAAGUGAUGGAAGCAACAAGAGGAACAGUAAAAUUUUUCUUCUUUUUCUGGCAUGGAUUACGGAAACAAAGAUCUGUAUUUCCGGUAACACUCAAAUUCAGGGUGCCCUUGUCAAAUUUAUCCACGAGAACAGAUGGAACUAAACCUGAAAGCUUAUUUCCAGACAAGUUCAAG